rnacentral:rRNA from 1 species
UACAGAGGGUGCAAGCGUUGUUCGGAAUUAUUGGGCGUAAAGCGCACGUAGGCGGAUUGCUAAGUCAGGGGUGAAAUCCUGGAGCUCAACUCCAGAACUGCCCUUGAUACUGGCGACCUUGAGUCCGGGAGAGGUGAGUGGAACUGCGAGUGUAGAGGUGAAAUUCGUAGAUAUUCGCAAGAACACCAGUGGCGAAGGCGGCUCACUGGCCCGGUACUGACGCUGAGGUGCGAAAGCGUGGGGAGCAAACAGG